rnacentral:rRNA from 1 species
GAUGAACGCUGGCGGCAUGCCUAAUACAUGCAAGUCGAACGAGAGGAAGGAAAGCUUGCUUUCCUGAAUCUAGUGGCGAACGGGUGAGUAACACGUAGGUAACCUGCCCAUGUGCCCGGGAUAACUUUUGGAAACGGAUGCUAAAACCGGAUAGGUAGCAGACAAGCAUUUGACUGCUAUUAAAGUGGCCUUGGCCAUGAACAUGGAUGGACCUGCGGUGCAUUAGCUGGUUGGUGUGGUAACGGCCCACCAAGGCGACGAUGCAUAGCCGGCCUGAGAGGGCGGACGGCCACAUUGGGACUGAGACACGGCCCAAACUCCUACGGGAGGCAGCAGUAGGGAAUUUUCGUCAAUGGGGGGAACCCUGAACGAGCAAUGCCGCGUGAGUGAGGAAGGUCUUCGGAUCGUAAAGCUCUGUUGUAAGAGAAAAACGGCACUCAUAGGGAAUGAUGAGUGAGUGAUGGUAUCUUACCAGAAAUCACGGC